rnacentral:lncRNA from 1 species
GAAGAGUACUACAAAGAUUACUAUAAGAUUUGUGAACUAAAGGCCAUACAUAAGUUGUACUGAUCCACAUGGGAAGAUUUGCUACGUGCACCUUAUGGAAUCAUAGAAGAUACCAUUUUUUCAUCUUUUUUAUGCCAUAACUACACAUCAGCAAGUCUAGCAGUGCCACCUCUCGACAUAGUCUCCUUUGCGCUAGUUACCAGUCUUGUUCCUUGGCGAAGCCUCAAUUCCUAUAAGAUCAAAAGGGCAGGCAUGAGAGAAAGAUAAAUGGAACACUACUUGUGCAACAUUUCGAUAAAAAAAAUUCCUAUGUUUUGCUACAGAUUACAUUACUUGAGAAUUUUUUGUCUGUUUUCAAUUUGAUGUCACGGAGAAACUGGUAUAAGCCAAGAUCAAGAACUUUGCUGGCGACAAACUAUGACAGUUAUCCAGCAGCACCAAUAACCAGAAAAUGUUUUUUUCCUGAGAACACACAUCCCAAUUUUUGAAAUGCAUCAGUACACACACAUUUUCAUUAUUCAGAAGCAAUCAAACAUGCUAAAUAGUACUCAUGUUCUUACUGGAACCACACAUAUUAUAAAAUAUUAAUCAUGUACUUACUGGUACAGAUCAAAUUUGCCACUUGGGAAAUUAAGCUCUCCAAAACAUACUAAACUCUCUUUUCUAUAGUUUUCAGUUCACAUGUGCGGCAUGAAAGGAAGAAUUAACUGACCGUCAAUAGCACUCA